AUUUCUUUUAUUUUAUAGUAACUAAAGAUGGGCCAAAUGUUGUAGUGGAGAAAAUGGCUCUUUUGUCCGAACAUAAAGUGGUCAAGGAAGUUGACCUCACAGGAGACUUGUCAAAGAUUAAAGAUACACCGUUUGUAAUCAAGGAGGGUGCUGAAUUCCAAAUUCAAGUGACAUUUAGGGUAAG